UGGGGAAUUUUGGACAAUGGGCGAAAGCCUGAUCCAGCAAUGCCGCGUGUGUGAAGAAGGCCUUCGGGUUGUAAAGCACUUUUGUCCGGAAAGAAAUCCUUGGCUCUAAUACAGUCGGGGGGAUGACGGUACCGGAAGAAUAAGCACCGGCUAACUACGUGCCAGCAGCCGCGGUAAUACGUAGGGUGCAAGCGUUAAUCGGAAUUACUGGGCGUAAAGCGUGCGCAGGCGGUUUGCUAAGACCGACGUGAAAUCCCCGGGCUCAACCUGGGAACUGCAUUGGUGACUGGCAGGCUAGAGUAUGGCAGGAGGGGGGUAGAAUUCCACGUGUAGCAGUGAAAUGCGUAGAGAUGUGGAGGAAUACCCGAUGGCGAAGGCAGCCCCCUGGGCCAAUACUGACGCUCAUGCACGAAAGCGUGGGGAGCAAACAGGAUUCAGAUACCCUGGUAGUCCACGCCCUAAAGCGAUGUCAACUAGUUGUUGGGGAUUCAUUUCCUUAGUAACGUAGCUAACGCGUGAAGUUGACCGCCUGGGGAGUACGGUCGCAAGAUUAAAACUCAAAGGAAUUGACGGGAUCAUA
rnacentral:rRNA from 1 species